UUCGUUCAGUUAUGUUAUACAGGGCGCCGGGUAGUAACAGAGUUCGAUCAUGGCUCGUUGAACGCUGGCGGGAUGCUUUACACAUGCAAGUCGAACGGCAGCACGGACUUCGGUCUGGUGGCGAGUGGCGAACGGGUGAGUAAUGUAUCGGAACUGUGCCUAAAGUAGCGAGGAUGCUCGCGGCGGCAGCUAUGCCGCAUACGCCCUUCGGGGAAAAGCGGGGACGCCGGGCCUCGCACUAUUAGAGCGGCCGAUAUCGGAUUAAAGCUGGAUUGGUGGGGUAACGGCUCACCAAGGCGACGAUCCGUAGCUGGUUUUGAAGGACGGCCAGCCUGCGGGACUGGAACGCGGCUGGAACUCUACAGGAAGGCAACGGUGAGGAAUUUGGACAAUGGGGAAACCUGAUCCCAGCCAUCCCGCUGUGUGCGAUGAAGGCCUUCGGGUUGUAAAGCACUUUUGGCAGGAAAGAAACGGCACGGGGGAUAAUACCCAUUGCAACUGACGGCCUGAAUAGCACCGGCUAACUAUGACCUUACAGCAUCGCGGUAAUACGUAGGGUGCAAGCGUUAAUCAGAUUACUGGGCGUAAGCGUGCGCAGGCGGUUCGGAAAGAAAGAUGUAAUCUUAGAGGCUUAACGCUGGAACUGCAUUUUUAACUACUGACUAGAGAGUGUGUCAGGGAAGUGGAAUUCCCGCGAUGUAGCAGUGAAAUGCAUAGAUAUGCGGAGGAACUUACCGAUAUGAAGGCAAUAUCUACCGGGAUAACACCAUUGCUCAUGCGAAAGCGUGGGGAGCAAGCAAGUUAGAUACCUGGUGGUCCACGCCCUAAACGAUGUCAGCUAGCUCAUUGGGGCCUUCGAGCGCUUGGUAGCGCAGCUAACGCGUGAAGUUGACCGCCUGGGGAAAUGCGGUCGCAAGUUGUUAAAACUAAAGGUGGCGGACCACACAAGCGGUGGAUGAUGUCGUUAAUAUUCGGUGCAACUGCGAAAAAAUAUACCUGCCAUGACGUAUCGGAAUCCCGAAGAGAUUUGGGAGUGCUCAUAAGAAGGCCGUUCUGGUGCUGCUGGCUGUCGUCAGCUCGUGUCGUGGAUGUUGGGUUAAGUCCCGCAACGAGCGCAACCCUUGUCAUUAGUUGCUACGAAGGGCACUCUAAUGAGACUGCCGGUAGUGGCCAGCCGGAAAGGUGGGGAUGACGUCAAAGUCCUCAUGGCCCUUAUGGGUAGGGGCUUCACACGUCAUACAAUGGUCGGGACAGAGGGUCGCCAACCCGCGAGGGAGCCAAUCCCAGAAACCCGAUCGUAGUCCGGAUCGCAGUCUGCAACUCGACUGCGUGAAGUCGAAUCUUCAAUAAUCGCGGAUCAACAUGUCGCGGUGAAUACGUUCAGGUCUUGUACACACCGCCCGUCACACCAUGGGAGUGGGUUUUACCAGAAGUAGUUAGCCCUAGCCGUAAGGAGGGCGAUUACCACAGUAGGAUUCAUGACUGGGGGUGAAGUCGUAACAAGGUAG
rnacentral:rRNA from 1 species